rnacentral:lncRNA from 10 species
CUAUAUUCAUUCCUUCAUUGUGCAUUAGGAGCAAGACGAUUUGUCUUUAGUUUUAUAGAUUGAGAGGAACUACGCUCAAGGAGCCUCAUGCAUACCUGGACCUGAUUUAAAUGAUGAGAUGCUGGACUUCAAGCAGAUGCUGUAAUGAUAUGAGGUUCUCAGGGACCUUGGGAAAUAGUAAAUGUAUUUUGUGUGUGAGAGGGACACAAAUCAUUGGAGGCCAAAAGGGUGAACUGAGGACAGAUGCUAGGGUAGCUCCCACAAUCCCCACCUCCUGGUUUCACCCUUGUGGGAUCUCGCCAUGAGUGUGGAUGGAACCUGUGAUUUGCUUCUAACUAGUAG